GCUGGGUGUGGUGGUGUACGCCUGUAGUCCCAGCUACUCAGGAGGCUGAGGCAGGAGAAUCACUUGAACCCAGGAGGCUGAGGUUGCAGUGAGCCGAGAUCCCGCCACUGCACUCCAGCCUGGGCGACAGAGCAAGACUCUGCCUCAA
ensembl:misc_RNA Metazoa_SRP Metazoan signal recognition particle RNA